rnacentral:ncRNA from 1 species
CGCAUGCUGUUGGGCCCUGGGUUCAGUUGUUCUUUCCGUCUUGUGGUGAGCACUAGUCGCCUUAUCCCUAUUAUCGACCGUGCACUAGUAGCCUUGUUUGACCAAAUUGUUCCUCCAACAUUGCUACUUUGAAAAAAUUAAAGUGCUCAAAACAUAUAUAUGUUUGGAUAUAUUAGCAUGGGAUAGUAUCAAAAGAUUUUGAUCCUAUUAUGUUAGUCUUUAGGAUUAAAAUAAUAAUUAGCAGGGCUAGUCGAAAAUAUUUGUAUUUCAUAAUCAUAAAUAAAAUUAUUAGAUUUCUGAAAAACGAACAACUAUAAAAAUAUUUGUCAAGUAUGUUUUCAUUGAUCAAUCACAAAAGUUCAAGGCUCUAAGACAUCUAGGUACCAUCAUAAUCUCAAUCAUAAAUGAUGCCAACUCUAUUAAAAAAAAAAUGAUGCCAACCAAAGAUUGACGAGUGUUAAUUUUAAGACUCUAUUGACAUUUUAUGAAAAAUCAAAGCUUUUUAAAGU